rfam:Ornithorhynchus anatinus chromosome 2, whole genome shotgun sequence.
AUCCCACUGUGGAGGUUUCUGAAGGAAAGAGGUAGUUCUCUGAGGGCGAGGCUCAUUCAUUGCAUUUUAGGUGUGCUGACCCCUGAGAUUUCCUCAAAUGUGGGAAACUUGACUUCAUUAUUUGUGGUAGUGGGGGAUUGUGUUGGUGCUUUCCCCUG